UACGUAGGGGGGCAAGCGUUGUCCGGAAUCAUUGGGCGUAAAGCGCGCGUAGACGGCCCGGUAAGUCCGCUGUAAAAGUCCAGGGCUCAACCCUGGAAAGCCGGUGGAUACUGUCGGGGCUAGAGUCCGGAAGAGGCGAGUGGAAUUCCUGGGUGUAGCGGGUGGAAUGCGCAGAUAUCAGGAGGAACACCAACGGCGAAGGCAGCUCGCUGGGACGGUACUGACACUGAGGCGCGAAAGCGUGGGGAGCAAACGGG
rnacentral:rRNA from 1 species